ACGAAGCAGAACGCAGUCUUCAGAGAUAUCCACGUGAACGCUGUGAUACGUCUGACCUUCAGUCCGAAGAAGAAACCCAGACCAGUCUUAAAAGAAAGCACAAACCAAAUCCCCUGUACACAUAUACGGACUCAGAGGAUGAGCAGCCUACAAAAAAACGGUUUCCCCAGGCCCCUCGAGUGAAAAUACCAGCCCUCAUCACUCCGCAGUCUGCCCCCCAGCCCACUGAUAGCAACCAUCAUAAUGCCCCACCCAGCUUCCGGCACCUUUCGCCACUCCGGCACAAACCGACACAGCUUUGCGAUCUCGCCAGCAUGCAGAGUCUGAUGUCUUCCCUAUAGAUGGUAUGCUUUUAAAAAAGCUUUAAAGCUGCAUCACAAUGUCAUUGUACUCUUAUCUUCAAAACACCAGUUUAUACUCCUGAAUGUCAUCUUGUUGUGAUUUUUUUUUUUCUGUAGAUUCCAGAGACUCUGUG